rnacentral:rRNA from 1 species
GAUGAACGCUGGCGGCGUGCCUAAUACAUGCAAGUCGAGCGGACCAAAGAGAGCUUGCUCUCUGAGGUUAGCGGCGGACGGGUGAGUAACACGUGGGUAACCUGCCUGUAAGACGAGGAUAACUUCGGGAAACCGAAGCUAAUACCGGAUGAUAAAGAGAAACGCCUGCUUCUUUUUUGAAAGUCGGCCUUGUGCUGACGCUUACAGAUGGGCCCGCGGCGCAUUAGCUAGUUGGUGAGGUAACGGCUCACCAAGGCGACGAUGCGUAGCCGACCUGAGAGGGUGAUCGGCCACACUGGGACUGAGACACGGCCCAGACUCCUACGGGAGGCAGCGGUAGGGAAUCUUCGGCAAUGGACGAAAGUCUGACCGAGCAACGCCGCGUGAGCGAUGAAGGCCUUCGGGUCGUAAAGCUCUGUUGUCAGAGAAGAACAAGUACCGGAGUAACUGCCGGUACCUUGACGGUACCUGACCAGAAAGCCACGGCUAACUACGUGCCAGCAGCCGCAGUAA